AUCGAGGUUGGUUGAGCCACAUCUAAUGGCCAUGGCUGAGCUCUUGGUGGCAUUGACGUGAAGUCCCGAGGCUUGGGCAAAACAUGACAGUAUGAGCUGUAUCAUUGUAGCAUCACUCUUUUUUGGGUUCAUGAACGUUGCCACAUCAUCGGCAUAGAAGGAGCAGCGCAUUAGUGGUGUUCGCCCAGGGAGCUUUGUGAGGACACCGCGGGACGUGGCCAGGGUAAAUCCCCUUUUCUCUCCUCUGGCAGCUCUGAGAGGGGAAUGGGGAAGGGAGCGGCUUCAACAAAUCUUGAGGCCUGCCCAUGGAUCACCAAAGCAAAUCUGGGAAGGAGAUUCUCUUGGAGUCUAGAUCUGACUGAGUGCUCCAGCCGCACGCGGAUUCUGCGGCGCCCAGCAGCGAGACCGCAUCUCGCCGUUGCUGAUCUGCAGAGGAAAAAGCGGUCGCCGGGAGGCCACGGGAGAGUAUAAGAGAUUGCUCUCCUGUUCGUGGCGCUGGGACCAUGAGCUAUGUCGUCUGAUUGAACGACCAGCUUGUUCCUUGCCGUCCGUGGCAGAGAUGGGGAGUCAAACGCGAAGGCAAGUUGUGGGCUUCCUAGUUGCUACUGCUUUAGGCUUCCACCUAUGUAAUGUGUGCUACAACUUUGCAUCAUUCCUACAUCCCUCCACAUCGGCUUAUUCUUCAUAGAUGAGAGGUUGUUGGUACCUCAGCAGGUCGGUCUUGACUUCAUUGGGCAUCGAGUUGCACGAUGAUGUCGAUGUUCGUACGACAUCGUGUCGCAAAAUCACAUGCUUCAAUUUGUAGCACCCUGACUAUGCUUAACGGCUUGGAUAAUUCCAGUGGAAUGGCUAUAGGAUUACCUCCUCCUCCUCGUCGCCUCGGCCACCGCCACUUCUUUGGAGCUUGCAUCCACGCCCAUCAUGUGUUAGCUGUUCGAGGCCCUCUGUCAUAUUCGUAUAUGUGAUGUAGGUCAUUCUCUCUCCCUCGGCAAGCCUAGCUUUCUUUGCUAUUGUUGGUCUCCGGCGGUGAGACUUCGUCCUUGAUCAGGUCAUCUUCCCAAGGAUUUAAGGAAAGCCUCUAUAUCAUAGACUAUUAAUUGAGAUGAUUAGGUUCCUGUGAUAGGAGCCAAAGUGAUUGUUCCUCCACCGCCUACAUUUAAUCUGAUCGAGCGAUCAGUGAGAUUAAAAAAGUACUUCCUUAUAAUGACGUGACCUGGUUCUGUGCCCGCCUAUUUUUCUUCCUUCAAUGAGGUUAUCUGGUUCUGUACA